UGGGUAACCUGCCUCUUGCUCUGGGAUAACUCCGGGAAACCGGGGCUAAUACCGGAUACUCUCAGCCGACCGCAUGACCGGCUGAGGAAAGCUCCGGCGGUCUGGGAUGGGCCCGCGGCCUAUCAGCUUGCUGGUGGGGUAACGGCCUACCAAGGCGACGACGGGUAGCUGGUCUGAGAGGACGGCCAGCCACACUGGGACUGAGACACGGCCCAGACUCCUACGGGAG
rnacentral:rRNA from 1 species